GGAGACCGCAGUGUUCACCAGGGGACGCUGGUGCGCUUGAUCGCUUUCGAGCGUGACAGAUACGGCGGUUCGAUUCCGUCGGUCUCCACCA
rnacentral:tRNA from 2 species